UUCUUCUUUGUCUUUUUUCUUCUUCUUUUUCCUCUUUCUUUUCUUUUCUUUUCAGAAUUAUGGCUCUUGGGAUGAUGAGGGGAAUG
rnacentral:ribozyme from 1 species